GAAGCUUACUAUUGCUAUAUUCACACUUUCCACUACCAUAUCCCUACUACUAUUAAGAAGCUAAGGUGGGCGCAGGGCGACACCACGGCUCCGCCUCCACCGUGCACCCUGCCAUCGCAAGCCUGCCACCACCACCCGCCUCACACGCGCGACCCGCCUGUCCCCACCACCUCCCCGACCCAAGCCCCAUCCACCGCACGCCUGCCCCCGCGCCUCCCCCGUCCUGCCCCCACCGCCGCACAAUCCGCCAUGCCUCAGCCUCGCAAUAUCCUCCAUGCCAGCGUCUCUGCUUCUCCUCCGUGCAACCGCCCGACCCGCCGCCUUCCCCUCCGCAAAACAGCCAUGCCCCCGCCUCGGCUAACCCUACGCGCAGAUCCGCAGCCGCCUGACCCGCCAGGACCCCGCCUCUCCUUCCCCUUCGCGCUCAAACAACCAAGCCGAGGUCCGCGCAGCCACACGAACUGCCAUGACCUCGCACGAUCCGUCAUGCCCCCGCCUCGCACAAUCCAUCGUGCCUUCCCCUCCGUGCAACCGCCCGACCCGCCAGGAACCCGCCUCUCCUUCCCCUCCGCGCUCAAGCCGAGGAAAUGCACCCACAAAUUUGGAAGCCGCGGCAAUGGCGCCCGAUUUGGCUAUGGCGUGCAUGAUCUCCAUCGGCUGAUUUGGAAACCGCGCAAUCUACGUCGGCGAUUUGGAAACCACGAUCUCGGUACCGCAAUCACAACAAUUGUCCCCCAAAUGUCGCGACCACCGACGUCCAGCUGACUUAGGAACGACCAAGCAGGAGCCUACUCCUCAUUUGCCCCUGUUCAGAGGUAUAAAUUUCACUAGCUUCUCUAGCAGUUCAUGAUUAUGCAUAACCAUGUUCUUGCCUGUUCGAACCUAGAUAUACAAUGUUCUUAUGUGCUAGCGGUUCCUGCUGGUACAAUUUUUUUCCCGAGUUGUUGCUAAUCUAUGUUUAUGUAUUAGUUCAUAGUGUGUUUAGUUUUGCUUUGCUUUCUUAACGAUGUAGAAAUACACUGCUUUUCAGUACUGCUUUUCAUGUAUCACUAUUAGCCUGUUAGGUUGCAGACCAUGGUAUAUUGUGGACUUGUAGGAAAAAACAACUUACAUAAACCAACGUUUAUAUAAGAUAGCAUCUAGCAACUUUUGUAUAAAGCAGCCAUUGGUAUAGCCAAACAGAAAGUAGACUGCUGGGGUAACUUCAGUUGUAGAUAUUGGCAGAUGAGCUUUGUUUGGCAUUGCCAUUUUGCCCAGCCUCUGACUUCAUGAAAUGGUCCUUGCCUGGGUGUGUGCAACAUGUGCCAACACCAAACACCGUUAAGGUACACAGAAACACCAUGGUAACCCCAGCCCCAUUGCCCAAGAGUGCUUGAUCAGUAUAAAAGGCAUGAAAGGCAAAUUGCAGAUGCAUAUGUAGAGGUCUAUAUCAGACAUCACAACUAAACAACAUAAUACUUGUGGCUUAUGUCAAGGAUGCUGAUCAGACUAUGUUAUAAUAAUGUGAAACACUACAGAUAAAAGUAAAUGUAUUCAACAAUGGCCAGCUCCCAUCUGUGUUGUCUUAACUUCAGGAUCACAAAUUGUCUCCAGGCCACUCAACAAUAAUCAGAACAUAUUAGAAAAAAACAGUUGUCAACAAUCCAACUAUUCAUUAUACAAUAGCCAAGAUAAACAAUAUAUAGUAAGAAUGGUAGAAGAGCAAAAGGAAUGUACACACCUUGAAGUCAUCCUGUUUACGAUAGUUGGACCAUUUAGUCUAAAAGCUGAUGAGUGACAAAAGAUAUCAUAAAAAAGAAUGGAAGAUACUUACGCCUGCCCCAUUGAAUUCCACACGUCCCAAAGGCUGGGACCAAGCAUAUCCAUUACCUAAAAAUAUAAGUGAAUAAAAACUGUUGAGCUGCAAAGAAAUAGAGUAAUAAGAAGUGAACUCACAAGUAUAUAGUAGUCGCCCUGACGACCCUUGUAGUGGACCGAUGGUAUGCCAUAGCAACCAUUGAGAGUGCUAGCAAACAAUACCAAUAGUCAGAAAGAAAGUCUCCACAAAAAAACAAAGAUGGCAGGAUGAGCAUCCCUACUACUAUUAAGAAGCUAAGGUGGGCGCAGGGCGACACCACGGCUCCGCCUCCACCGUGCACCCUGCCAUCGCAAGCCUGCCACCACCACCCGCCUCACACGCGCGACCCGCCUGUCCCCACCACCUCCCCGACCCAAGCCCCAUCCACCGCACGCCUGCCCCCGCGCCUCCCCCGUCCUGCCCCCACCGCCGCACAAUCCGCCAUGCCUCAGCCUCGCAAUAUCCUCCAUGCCAGCGUCUCUGCUUCUCCUCCGUGCAACCGCCCGACCCGCCGCCUUCCCCUCCGCAAAACAGCCAUGCCCCCGCCUCGGCUAACCCUACGCGCAGAUCCGCAGCCGCCUGACCCGCCAGGACCCCGCCUCUCCUUCCCCUUCGCGCUCAAACAACCAAGCCGAGGUCCGCGCAGCCACACGAACUGCCAUGACCUCGCACGAUCCGUCAUGCCCCCGCCUCGCACAAUCCAUCGUGCCUUCCCCUCCGUGCAACCGCCCGACCCGCCAGGAACCCGCCUCUCCUUCCCCUCCGCGCUCAAGCCGAGGAAAUGCACCCACAAAUUUGGAAGCCGCGGCAAUGGCGCCCGAUUUGGCUAUGGCGUGCAUGAUCUCCAUCGGCUGAUUUGGAAACCGCGCAAUCUACGUCGGCGAUUUGGAAACCACGAUCUCGGUACCGCAAUCACAACAAUUGUCCCCCAAAUGUCGCGACCACCGACGUCCAGCUGACUUAGGAACGACCAAGCAGGAGCCUACUCCUCAUUUGCCCCUGUUCAGAGGUAUAAAUUUCACUAGCUUCUCUAGCAGUUCAUGAUUAUGCAUAACCAUGUUCUUGCCUGUUCGAACCUAGAUAUACAAUGUUCUUAUGUGCUAGCGGUUCCUGCUGGUACAAUUUUUUUCCCGAGUUGUUGCUAAUCUAUGUUUAUGUAUUAGUUCAUAGUGUGUUUAGUUUUGCUUUGCUUUCUUAACGAUGUAGAAAUACACUGCUUUUCAGUACUGCUUUUCAUGUAUCACUAUUAGCCUGUUAGGUUGCAGACCAUGGUAUAUUGUGGACUUGUAGGAAAAAACAACUUACAUAAACCAACGUUUAUAUAAGAUAGCAUCUAGCAACUUUUGUAUAAAGCAGCCAUUGGUAUAGCCAAACAGAAAGUAGACUGCUGGGGUAACUUCAGUUGUAGAUAUUGGCAGAUGAGCUUUGUUUGGCAUUGCCAUUUUGCCCAGCCUCUGACUUCAUGAAAUGGUCCUUGCCUGGGUGUGUGCAACAUGUGCCAACACCAAACACCGUUAAGGUACACAGAAACACCAUGGUAACCCCAGCCCCAUUGCCCAAGAGUGCUUGAUCAGUAUAAAAGGCAUGAAAGGCAAAUUGCAGAUGCAUAUGUAGAGGUCUAUAUCAGACAUCACAACUAAACAACAUAAUACUUGUGGCUUAUGUCAAGGAUGCUGAUCAGACUAUGUUAUAAUAAUGUGAAACACUACAGAUAAAAGUAAAUGUAUUCAACAAUGGCCAGCUCCCAUCUGUGUUGUCUUAACUUCAGGAUCACAAAUUGUCUCCAGGCCACUCAACAAUAAUCAGAACAUAUUAGAAAAAAACAGUUGUCAACAAUCCAACUAUUCAUUAUACAAUAGCCAAGAUAAACAAUAUAUAGUAAGAAUGGUAGAAGAGCAAAAGGAAUGUACACACCUUGAAGUCAUCCUGUUUACGAUAGUUGGACCAUUUAGUCUAAAAGCUGAUGAGUGACAAAAGAUAUCAUAAAAAAGAAUGGAAGAUACUUACGCCUGCCCCAUUGAAUUCCACACGUCCCAAAGGCUGGGACCAAGCAUAUCCAUUACCUAAAAAUAUAAGUGAAUAAAAACUGUUGAGCUGCAAAGAAAUAGAGUAAUAAGAAGUGAACUCACAAGUAUAUAGUAGUCGCCCUGACGACCCUUGUAGUGGACCGAUGGUAUGCCAUAGCAACCAUUGAGAGUGCUAGCAAACAAUACCAAUAGUCAGAAAGAAAGUCUCCACAAAAAAACAAAGAUGGCAGGAUGAGCAUCCCUACUACUAUUAAGAAGCUAAGGUGGGCGCAGGGCGACACCACGGCUCCGCCUCCACCGUGCACCCUGCCAUCGCAAGCCUGCCACCACCACCCGCCUCACACGCGCGACCCGCCUGUCCCCACCACCUCCCCGACCCAAGCCCCAUCCACCGCACGCCUGCCCCCGCGCCUCCCCCGUCCUGCCCCCACCGCCGCACAAUCCGCCAUGCCUCAGCCUCGCAAUAUCCUCCAUGCCAGCGUCUCUGCUUCUCCUCCGUGCAACCGCCCGACCCGCCGCCUUCCCCUCCGCAAAACAGCCAUGCCCCCGCCUCGGCUAACCCUACGCGCAGAUCCGCAGCCGCCUGACCCGCCAGGACCCCGCCUCUCCUUCCCCUUCGCGCUCAAACAACCAAGCCGAGGUCCGCGCAGCCACACGAACUGCCAUGACCUCGCACGAUCCGUCAUGCCCCCGCCUCGCACAAUCCAUCGUGCCUUCCCCUCCGUGCAACCGCCCGACCCGCCAGGAACCCGCCUCUCCUUCCCCUCCGCGCUCAAGCCGAGGAAAUGCACCCACAAAUUUGGAAGCCGCGGCAAUGGCGCCCGAUUUGGCUAUGGCGUGCAUGAUCUCCAUCGGCUGAUUUGGAAACCGCGCAAUCUACGUCGGCGAUUUGGAAACCACGAUCUCGGUACCGCAAUCACAACAAUUGUCCCCCAAAUGUCGCGACCACCGACGUCCAGCUGACUUAGGAACGACCAAGCAGGAGCCUACUCCUCAUUUGCCCCUGUUCAGAGGUAUAAAUUUCACUAGCUUCUCUAGCAGUUCAUGAUUAUGCAUAACCAUGUUCUUGCCUGUUCGAACCUAGAUAUACAAUGUUCUUAUGUGCUAGCGGUUCCUGCUGGUACAAUUUUUUUCCCGAGUUGUUGCUAAUCUAUGUUUAUGUAUUAGUUCAUAGUGUGUUUAGUUUUGCUUUGCUUUCUUAACGAUGUAGAAUUACACUGCUUUUCAGUACUGCUUUUCAUGUAUCACUAUUAGCCUGUUAGGUUGCAGACCAUGGUAUAUUGUGGACUUGUAGGAAAAAACAACUUACAUAAACCAACGUUUAUAUAAGAUAGCAUCUAGCAACUUUUGUAUAAAGCAGCCAUUGGUAUAGCCAAACAGAAAGUAGACUGCUGGGGUAACUUCAGUUGUAGAUAUUGGCAGAUGAGCUUUGUUUGGCAUUGCCAUUUUGCCCAGCCUCUGACUUCAUGAAAUGGUCCUUGCCUGGGUGUGUGCAACAUGUGCCAACACCAAACACCGUUAAGGUACACAGAAACACCAUGGUAACCCCAGCCCCAUUGCCCAAGAGUGCUUGAUCAGUAUAAAAGGCAUGAAAGGCAAAUUGCAGAUGCAUAUGUAGAGGUCUAUAUCAGACAUCACAACUAAACAACAUAAUACUUGUGGCUUAUGUCAAGGAUGCUGAUCAGACUAUGUUAUAAUAAUGUGAAACACUACAGAUAAAAGUAAAUGUAUUCAACAAUGGCCAGCUCCCAUCUGUGUUGUCUUAACUUCAGGAUCACAAAUUGUCUCCAGGCCACUCAACAAUAAUCAGAACAUAUUAGAAAAAAACAGUUGUCAACAAUCCAACUAUUCAUUAUACAAUAGCCAAGAUAAACAAUAUAUAGUAAGAAUGGUAGAAGAGCAAAAGGAAUGUACACACCUUGAAGUCAUCCUGUUUACGAUAGUUGGACCAUUUAGUCUAAAAGCUGAUGAGUGACAAAAGAUAUCAUAAAAAAGAAUGGAAGAUACUUACGCCUGCCCCAUUGAAUUCCACACGUCCCAAAGGCUGGGACCAAGCAUAUCCAUUACCUAAAAAUAUAAGUGAAUAAAAACUGUUGAGCUGCAAAGAAAUAGAGUAAUAAGAAGUGAACUCACAAGUAUAUAGUAGUCGCCCUGACGACCCUUGUAGUGGACCGAUGGUAUGCCAUAGCAACCAUUGAGAGUGCUAGCAAACAAUACCAAUAGUCAGAAAGAAAGUCUCCACAAAAAAACAAAGAUGGCAGGAUGAGCAUCCCUACUACUAUUAAGAAGCUAAGGUGGGCGCAGGGCGACACCACGGCUCCGCCUCCACCGUGCACCCUGCCAUCGCAAGCCUGCCACCACCACCCGCCUCACACGCGCGACCCGCCUGUCCCCACCACCUCCCCGACCCAAGCCCCAUCCACCGCACGCCUGCCCCCGCGCCUCCCCCGUCCUGCCCCCACCGCCGCACAAUCCGCCAUGCCUCAGCCUCGCAAUAUCCUCCAUGCCAGCGUCUCUGCUUCUCCUCCGUGCAACCGCCCGACCCGCCGCCUUCCCCUCCGCAAAACAGCCAUGCCCCCGCCUCGGCUAACCCUACGCGCAGAUCCGCAGCCGCCUGACCCGCCAGGACCCCGCCUCUCCUUCCCCUUCGCGCUCAAACAACCAAGCCGAGGUCCGCGCAGCCACACGAACUGCCAUGACCUCGCACGAUCCGUCAUGCCCCCGCCUCGCACAAUCCAUCGUGCCUUCCCCUCCGUGCAACCGCCCGACCCGCCAGGAACCCGCCUCUCCUUCCCCUCCGCGCUCAAGCCGAGGAAAUGCACCCACAAAUUUGGAAGCCGCGGCAAUGGCGCCCGAUUUGGCUAUGGCGUGCAUGAUCUCCAUCGGCUGAUUUGGAAACCGCGCAAUCUACGUCAGCGAUUUGGAAACCACGAUCUCGGUACCGCAAUCACAACAAUUGUCCCCCAAAUGUCGCGACCACCGACGUCCAGCUGACUUAGGAACGACCAAGCAGGAGCCUACUCCUCAUUUGCCCCUGUUCAGAGGUAUAAAUUUCACUAGCUUCUCUAGCAGUUCAUGAUUAUGCAUAACCAUGUUCUUGCCUGUUCGAACCUAGAUAUACAAUGUUCUUAUGUGCUAGCGGUUCCUGCUGGUACAAUUUUUUUCCCGAGUUGUUGCUAAUCUAUGUUUAUGUAUUAGUUCAUAGUGUGUUUAGUUUUGCUUUGCUUUCUUAACGAUGUAGAAUUACACUGCUUUUCAGUACUGCUUUUCAUGUAUCACUAUUAGCCUGUUAGGUUGCAGACCAUGGUAUAUUGUGGACUUGUAGGAAAAAACAACUUACAUAAACCAACGUUUAUAUAAGAUAGCAUCUAGCAACUUUUGUAUAAAGCAGCCAUUGGUAUAGCCAAACAGAAAGUAGACUGCUGGGGUAACUUCAGUUGUAGAUAUUGGCAGAUGAGCUUUGUUUGGCAUUGCCAUUUUGCCCAGCCUCUGACUUCAUGAAAUGGUCCUUGCCUGGGUGUGUGCAACAUGUGCCAACACCAAACACCGUUAAGGUACACAGAAACACCAUGGUAACCCCAGCCCCAUUGCCCAAGAGUGCUUGAUCAGUAUAAAA